GAGUUUGAUCGUGGCUCAGAACGAACGCUGGCGGCAGGCCUAACACAUGCAAGUCGAGCGCUUCACUUCGGUGAGGAGCGGCGAACGGGUUAGUAACGCGUGGGAACGUACCCAAAGGUAGGGAAUAGCCACUGGAAACGGUGAGUAAUGCCCUAUGUGCCCUUCGGGGAAAGAUUUAUCGCCUUUGGAUCGGCCCGCGUUAGAUUAGGUAGUUGGUGGGGUAAUGGCCUACCAAGCCUACGAUCUAUAGCUGGUUUGAGAGGAUGAUCAGCAACACUGGGACUGAGACACGGCCCAAACUCCUACGGGAGGCAGCAGUGGGGAAUCUUAGACAAUGGGCGAAAGCCUGAUCUAGCCAUGCCGCGUGAGUGAUGAAGGCCUUAGGGUCGUAAAGCUCUUUCGCCAGGGAUGAUAAUGACAGUACCUGGUAAAGAAACCCCGGCUAACUCCGUGCCAG
rnacentral:rRNA from 1 species